rnacentral:rRNA from 1 species
AACGAACGCUGGCGGCGUGCUUAACACAUGCAAGUCGAACGGUAAGGCCCUUCGGGGUACACGAGUGGCGAACGGGUGAGUAACACGUGGGUGAUCUGCCCUGCACUUCGGGAUAAGCCUGGGAAACUGGGUCUAAUACCGGAUAGGACUCCUGGCUUCAUGGUUGGGGGUGGAAAGCUUUUGCGGUGUGGGAUGGGCCCGCGGCCUAUCAGCUUGUUGGUGGGGUAAUGGCCUACCAAGGCGACGACGGGUAGCCGGCCUGAGAGGGUGACCGGUCACACUGGGACUGAGAUACGGCCCGGACUCCUACGGGAGGAAGCAGUGGGGAAUAUUGCACAAUGGGCGCAAGCCUGAUGCAGCGACGCCGCGUGAGGGAUGACGGCCUUCGGGUUGUAAACCUCUUUCAGCUAUGACGAAGCGCAAGUGACGGUAGUAGCAGAAGAAGGACCGGCCAACUACGUGCCAGCCGCCGCAGUAA